rnacentral:rRNA from 1 species
UACGUAGGGUGCAAGCGUUGUCCGGAAUUAUUGGGCGUAAAGAGCUCGUAGGCGGUCUGUCGCGUCUGCGGUGAAAACUCGGGGCUUAACCCCGGGCCUGCAGUGGGUACGGGCAGACUAGAGUGCGGUAGGGGAGACUGGAAUUCCUGGUGUAGCGGUGAAAUGCGCAGAUAUCAGGAGGAACACCGGUGGCGAAGGCGGGUCUCUGGGCCGAUACUGACACUGAGAAGCGAAAGCGUGGGGAGCGAACAGG